rnacentral:rRNA from 1 species
UACGAAGGGGGCUAGCGUUGCUCGGAAUUACUGGGCGUAGAGCGCACGUAGGCGGCUUUUUAAGUCGGAGGUGAAAUCCUGGAGCUCAACUCCAGAACUGCCUUCGAUACUGAAGAGCUCGAGUCCGGGAGAGGUGAGUGGAACUGCGGGUGUAGAGGUGAAAUUCGUAGAUAUUCGCAAGAACACCAGUGGCGAAGGCGGCUCACUGGCCCGGUACUGACGCUGAGGUGCGAAAGCGUGGGGAGCAAACAGG